AAUGAUGCUGGCCACUGCAAGAGGAGAGGGGACUGUGGUUUGCUGGUGGAGUGGUCACAUCAGAGCUUCUGCUGCAGUCUCUUUGCUUCUGGUCAAGUUCUAGCUCUGGGAUUAUUAAUCAAGCAUUAGUAACUCCGGAGUCAAGGCUCUGCAUGGUGCAGCCUCUGAGUUUGGCUCAGAACGGGCAUAUUGCCUGGAGUUUAUGACGCUCACAUUGUUUUUCAUAUCUAGAACGUUGCUUAUGAAAUGUUUAAAAUCGUUUAAUUUCCUGUAUUAGUUUUAUCUAUUAGUUGGAACCAGUGUGAUAAGAAACUUAACCACACCUAUGGCUCCCCUCAAUUCUCAGCUGCCAUCUUUCACCUCCAACACCCCUGAAGCAUGGGGAACAGAGCAAGCCCCAGAGGAUAUAAUCAGUCAGUUCUGAGAAAGAGGCUUCCCACAGAACCCAGUUGGAAGUUACUCCUAUUAUGACCAUGCCUGUGUUGGAGGUUGAUCCCAUGGCAUCUGGAGGUUGGACCCAUUGAUUCAGAAGGGACAGGGAGACUCGAGCCCCGGGCUACCUUGCC